CCGUCCCAGAUUGCGGCUUCUCCCGUCGCAAGACCGGCUCCCCGUCUUGAUUCGUCCUCGCGCCAAAGGCCAGGUCUUGGAGUUGCUAGCAGCCAUGGUGGAGCUCGGGUCGGGAUAGUGGAGGUGGUGGUGGUGGCUGUUGUGCCGCCACUGAAGACCACGGCGGCGGUGGCAGGGCAGAGGCCGCGGCGAGCGACGAGGGCGGCCGCCAUCCAGCGGGUCUUCGGGGCCCCGACACCAUUCACGCAGCUGCCGACCUCGCCUGCUGCGCGCCAUGGAUGAGCCCACAAUUCAACUAAGUGAACAAACUACUCCUUAGAUCGAUGCAUGCAAAGUCAUAUGGUUGGAUUGAUCCUCGUCCAGGUGACAAUGGCGCUCCAUUACCAUAGUCAUCGACUACUGGUCUGUUUGUCAGCAGAGGAAAUGGUGCAACUAGUUCAACAAGAAGGACAAGAACAAUGAAAAGAGGAGAUAAAGAAGAAUACGAGUCCGAUUUCUUACUUUUGGUCCUGAAGAUCCAUUGCCGUGUUCAUGGUUCUCAUGACCACUGCUUGAAGAAGCCAUAGAGGACAAUGAUUUCCUUACUUUAAACCUCGGAUCGCUUGAUAUUUGCACACUUUGCUAUCUGCCUGAAUUUGGUUUGUGGAUGCAAUCAGGCUCCAGAUUGAAAUCUCUUCCGCCUGGUAUUUAGGAUCUUGUGUUUGUAAAGAUUUGCCUAGUGCCUCUGUUUUC